AGUGCUCUGAAUGUCAACGUGAAGAAAUUCAAGCAAGCGCGAAUAAACGGCGGGAAUAACAAUGACUCUCUUAAGUGUUUUCGGCAAUUCCUAUCACUAUGACGGCGGCGAUUGCUCUCACCAUCGCACAGCCUAAUCAACUGUACGAACCAGCCUUGCCACAUUUUAUCAAGGGAGAGGUAACGUAACGAUGAUACUCCGCCAAAAAUGCUUUACAUCAGAAACAGGAUGCUCAAUAAUAUGCACAUCUUGAGCGAGUUAUUAAAGAAAUCUAAAACGACAGAAGGCGUAGUCGUAGUGCAGUUGAACGUCCUCUCCAAGGCUUUCGAUACCAUUCCACACGAAGCCAUUGAAGCUGCCUUGCGGAAAAAGGGGCUGCCCGAGCUAAUGAUGCAGCUCGUGGUAG
rnacentral:ncRNA from 1 species